UACAGAGGGUGCUAGCGUUGUUCGGAAUCAUUGGGCGUAAAGGGCGUGUAGGCGGUUUGUUAAGUCAUGUGUGAAAUCCCUCGGCUCAACCGGGGAACGACGCAUGAAACUGGCAAGCUAGAGUACCAAAGAGGGGGGUGGAAUUCCCGGUGUAGCGGUGAAAUGCGCAGAUAUCGGGAGGAACACCAAUGGCGAAGGCAGCUCGCUGGGACGUUACUGACGCUGGAGACGCGAAAGCGUGGGGAGCAAACAGG
rnacentral:rRNA from 1 species